GAUGAACGCUGGCGGCGUGCCUAAUACAUGCAAGUCGAACGAAACUUCUUUAUCACCGAGUGCUUGCACUCACCGAUAAAGAGUUGAGUGGCGAACGGGUGAGUAACACGUGGGCAGCCUGCCCAAAAGAGGGGGAUAACACUUGGAAACAGGUGCUAAUACCGCAUAACCAUAGUUACCGCAUGGUAACUAUGUAAAAGGUGCUAUUAUUCCCCUUUUGGAUUGGCCCGAGGCGCAUUAGCUAGUUGGUAGGGUAAAGGCUUACCGAGGCAAUGAUGCGUAGCCGAAUUGAGAGGUUGAUCGGCCACAUUGGGACUGAGACACGGCCCAAACUCCUACGGGAGGCAGCAGUAGGGAAUCUUCCACAAUGGGCGAAAGCCUGAUGGAGCAACGCCGCGUGGGUGAAGAAGGUCUUCGGAUCGUAAAACCCUGUUGUUAGAGAAGAAAGUGCGUGAGAGUAACUGUUCACGUUUCGACGGUAUCUAACCAGAAAGCCACGGCUAACUACGUG
rnacentral:rRNA from 1 species